UAUUCUUGCAAUGGACAAUAUUGUGCGCACUAAACGUCAACGAAGAAACCACUAUAUUUACUGGGCGGUAGUCAUGUGUCUGUUUAUUUUAUUCAUAAUUAUGUUAUUUUUCUUUAUGGAUCAAAAACCCGUAUACUGCUCAGACUAUGAAGUCCUUUGCAUAGAACACGAACAAUAAUUUACAAAAUUUUAUACAUUCUUAAAGACAUGCUGCUUGGGACUGCCUGAGUUCAAAUUGAUCUGAGUUAAUGAUCACAUUUAAACAUAUGUGGCUUUUUCGACCUGCCUGAGAAAACUGCGCCAUUUGCAGACAAUGUGCUCGAUGUUUACACAUAAUUAAGACAAUUUGCUGAUUGGCUGCCAAAAGUUGAGCACAUGCUUUGAGAACUUGCUUAAACAGACGCCAGUUCAAAUUACUCAACUCUUCAAAAAAAAAAAAAAAACAAACUGCCUGCUCCAUUAAUACGAAAUAUAUUCACAUGAUUUUUAAAAAUUGUUCACACAUAUAGGCCGCCAGCACAGUGCCCGUUAGCAGUUGCCUGACAUCGAAUAAAAUAUGAAACCUGGUUUUUUCGUCUACCUUAGCAUCACAUA